rnacentral:rRNA from 1 species
AACGCGAAGAACCUUACCUGGCCUUGACAUACUAGAAACUUUCCAGAGAUGGAUUGGUGCCUUCGGGAAUCUAGAUACAGGUGCUGCAUGGCUGUCGUCAGCUCGUGUUGUGAAAUGUUGGGUUAAGUCCCGCAACGAGCGCAACCCUUAUCCUUUGUUGCCAGCGGUCCGGCCGGGAACUCAAAGGAGACUGCCAGUGAUAAACUGGAGGAAGGUGGGGAUGACGUCAAGUCAUCAUGGCCCUUACGACCAGGGCUACACACGUGCUACAAUGGCGCAUACAAAGAGAAGCGACCUCGCGAGAGCAAGCGGACCUCAUAAAGUGCGUCGUAGUCCGGAUUGGAGUCUGCAACUCGACUCCAUGAAGUCGGAAUCGCUAGUAAUCGUGGAUCAGAAUGCCACGGUGAAUACGUUCCCGGGUCUUGUACACACCG